CACUUACAGAUGGACCCGCGGCGCAUCAGCUAGUUGGUGAGGUAACGGCUCACCAAGGCAACGAUGCGUAGCCGACCUGAGAGGGUGAUCGGCCACACUGGGACUGAGACACGGCCCAGACUCCUACGGGAGGCAGCAGUAGGGAAUCUUCCGCAAUGGACGAAAGUCUGACGGAGCAACGCCGCGUGAGUGAUGAAGGUUUUCGGAUCGUAAAACUCUGUUGUUAGGGAAGAACAAGUACCGUUCGAAUAGGGCGGUACCUUGACGGUACCUAACCAGAAAGCCACGGCUAACUACGUGCCAGCAGCCGCGGUAAUACGUAGGUGGCAAGCGUUGUCCGGAAUUAUUGGGCGUAAAGCGCGCGCAGGCGGUUUCUUAAGUCUGAUGUGAAAGCCCCCGGCUCAACCGGGGAGGGUCAUUGGAAACUGGGGAACUUGAGUGCAGAAGAGGAGAGUGGAAUUCCACGUGUAGCGGUGAAAUGCGUGGAGAUUGGAGGAAC
rnacentral:rRNA from 1 species